AAAACUAACCACGCUAGCACAGAUUAAAUAAUCUGUGACGCUAGUUUUAAAUCAUAUGAAUACGUUUUGAAUACAUGAGCGCCAGAAAACGACUCAUACCACCGUAUAGAAGUAGUGACACGCUGCAAAGGUUUUGUGACUUGACGCCGGGGCCUCAAUGUACCUACUUCCCAGGUCUCGUAGUUGGUCUCUACAAGGGUUAAAAUCUAGCUACUUCGAAGCGUUGACUGUCGUUUUAGGUUCUAGUCUGGUAUUUAUGUCCUUGGACGGAUGGACCAGUAAUAGGAGUGAUGGUGGAGUGGAAAUGGGCUUGUGUCUUGCAGAAACAAGGUGUGCAAUGUUGUGAUAUAUAGCAUGACAGUCAUGAAUGGGAAUAAUAAUGACAAUUUCAACUAUGCCCAUCAAAAGAAAAGCUAUAAAAUCAUACUGACUCAUCUUAGCUUUCAGGGGGCCAAAAUCUGCCUCCGUAUCCAGAAUUGGAAAAUAUCGCUAGUUAUUAUAAUUAUCUUUUUGGUAAGAGCACUGUUGAUUAUACUACCUAUAGUCUUCUAAUCAAUCUACAAACCAGACCAUCAUUUCGACCUUUAUAAUGAUUGAUUUUCACAACUUUUUAUGAAUGUCAAUUUCCCUUGUGGCACAAUAUAAAAAAAGAUGAGCCUCAUUUUCCCCACACUUUUGGAUGGUAGUCGGUUAGCAUAAGGGGUUCAUUCUAUUCUAUCAUUCAUUCAACCGCUGAACGUUUGUCCGAUCCCAACUGAGAGAUGGUCAGUAUUCACUGCUUAUCCUUUUGACUUCUGAAGGCUGUCGUUUAUAAAAGGGCAACAGCAUCAACGAAAAAAUACAUUUUAGAAGUCUAGGUAGAAUCUAAGGAGUUCAAUGAUGAAAAUUUCAAUAUUUUGUAUCAAACAUUAUUAUUAACCUAGAUAAAAUAUAACUUCAAAUUGACAAUGCGUCACAUUUACAAAUAUCAGUAAAAAUAAAUGAUAUGAAAUUUAUUGAACUUUAACAGGUUUAUCAUUUGCAAUAAGUUUUAUCUUCAGUCAUGGUGCCAUGUAUAUAAUUGAACUUCUAUAUGAGUAUUUGUCCUUAACAAUUGAAAGUUGUCAAUAUAUGAUUAAAUAAACAAAAGUGCAGUU